rnacentral:rRNA from 1 species
AACGAACGCUGGCGGCAUGCCUAACACAUGCAAGUCGAACGAGACCUUCGGGUCUAGUGGCGCACGGGUGCGUAACGCGUGGGAAUCUGCCCUUGGGUUCGGAAUAACAGUUAGAAAUGACUGCUAAUACCGGAUAAUGUCUUCGGACCAAAGAUUUAUCGCCCAGGGAUGAGCCCGCGUAGGAUUAGCUAGUUGGUGAGGUAAAGGCUCACCAAGGCGACGAUCUUUAGCUGGUCUGAGAGGAUGAUCAGCCACACUGGGACUGAGACACGGCCCAGACUCCUACGGGAGGCAGCAGUGGGGAAUAUUGGACAAUGGGCGAAAGCCUGAUCCAGCAAUGCCGCGUGAGUGAUGAAGGCCUUAGGGUUGUAAAGCUCUUUUACCCGAGAUGAUAAUGACAGUAUCGGGAGAAUAAGACUCCGGCUAACUCCGUGCCAGCAGCCGCGGUAAU